rnacentral:lncRNA from 1 species
AUUGAAUAUUUUCAAUUAGUUCUUACAGUGUAAAAUAGUCAAAUGAUUAGAAACCUUCUAUAAUUGAUCUACUAAUUAAAAUAAAUCGUUAGAUGUAAAAUUGAAUUAAUGCUGAAAUUAUACCCGGGCCUAUGCCUUUGCUGCCCAUGUGACAGGAUUGAAUGAAUGACAAACUGAGAUUUGAAAAUGAGUUUUUUAUCCAACACCAUGGAAGAAAAGAUCAAUGUCUCUUGUUUAAUAUGUGCUGACAAUUGUCUUUUGAUUUAUGGGCAGUCAUUAGCUGAGGUUGAAAAAUCACGGGCUCGUCAUUUUUUUCAUGGAAACAUGUGGACUGAAGUUGGUACCAAUCAAUGUGAUGGGACUGAAAUAUUUAUAUUGGAAGUAGUAAUUAGUGUGAUGACACCAUGAAUUAAUAGCUCAAAGACACAUUGAAUUAAUGGUCAAAAUCAGAAUUUUGAAGCAUUUGACUGGAUCCUGGAAUAUGGCCCACUUCCAUUGGUAUGUACCUUUUGCAAACAAUAUUCAUUUCUCUUUGUGUUCUUAUGUUUAUUCAAUAAAGCUAAUGUCUAUUUUUAACUUAUUAUAACUGCAAAACAGCAUUUUACAUGUUUGGUAUUCAUUUAACCAAGGUCCAAGUUAAGGCUUUGUUGCCGAGGAAAGCUUUAUAAAAUGAAUCUGACAAUGACCACAUGUGUGUAUCCACAUUUGGAUUGUUAAAAUUAAUCUUCCUUACACUAAUGAUUUAUUUAUAUACUAUAGAUGAAAUCGUAAAGCCAGAUGGGUGAUUGCAAAUGCUUUCAUAACUUCGAAGCCAAUAAAUUAAUGCCCCCAUUAUAUUUAAUGUUACUCAUUUAUUACAGUUUUGAUAUAAUGCAGAGUGUUGACAAUUGAUUAGUUCUAGUGCCUGUUUGAUGUGUAAUUAUAAGAUGCAGGUCCUGCGGAAUGUGUGGAUGGUAAGUGGGUAGUAAUUGUGUGGGGAUAAAAAUUAUGUUUGACCAGAAAUGAUUAAACUAUAUUCACUUCCCAAACAUGCUAGUGUCCACAAACGUUUGAUCGGUGAAAAUAAAGUAUUUUUGUGAACUUAAUUAAUGCAGAAUCAACACUUGGGUCAUUGGUUUGAGAUCUGAAAUUGAAAUUGUUUAAAUUAAAAUCUCCAUGGAAAAAUAUCAAUCUCCCCUGUUUAAUCUAUUCCGACUAGUAUCAUUUGGUUUUUUGAUAUUUAUGAGAGAUUAAUUAUUGGCUGUGAUUUGCAGUGGGUGAACAAUAUAUGGAGGAAUGAAGGUGGCAGAUACCAAUGUAUUUUUGCGAAUGGUAGCCUGAAUAGUCGAAAUCAAUGUGAUGAGCUGAAUAUAUUUUGAUUGAGAGCCAAAAUCAUUGUGAUGACACUAUGUAUUAAAAGCUCAAAGUUAUGUCCCUGAAAAUUUUACAACAUUUGAUUUGGUCCUGGUCUUUGGCCUUCCUUAAUUGGUAAGUACAUAAUCAGUAUUUUUUUUCAUUUUUGAUAUUAUCCAUGUUCUUGUUCAACAAAGGGUGAAUUAAGAUAUGCUAUGCUACAUUCUGCUAGUAUUUCACCUCUUCUAGCAGUCUGGAUUAAGUUCAUAUGUGAUACUUCCGUCUAAUUUGUUGUCUGGUGCACUGAGUCGAUGAAUUUUUUCCAAUUGAGCCUCUUAAAAAUGCAUAUGUAGAUGUUUAGAGUUCUGUACUGAAAGAAAUCUUUAUACAAACUAAUUUUUCUUAUAUCGGUUGUACUCUAAUAAUCAGUUAACUUGGUUGAUGUGAUGGAAACCUAAAAGUUUCGUUUCUAACAUUGAAAAUAAUAUAAAAUUUUUCAAUUUUAUUUUGUUUUAGUUUGGGAUUUUAUUUGGACAAGAUUAGAUAGUCUUCCGUAGUUUGUUAAGCUUGUGAUGUGAAAGUUUCCUUGAAUUUAAGUUUCUUAAAUCUAUUUAUGGGCAACAGAUGAUACUUAUCACUAUUACAUGUAUAUGGAAAAUUUUCUUACUAGCUAAUUAUUCUCCUCUGUUCUUCCUUUUCCCCAUCUGCUUCUAAUCUCUCUCUUUCCCUGUACCCUGUAUAUCGUGAUGUUACACAAGUUGAAUUCAGAUUAGAGAGUUAGAGGGGAGUAUCUGGAAGCAGCUGAGAGAUAACCAGUGUACUAGUGUGGGCCUCAAAACAGUUUUAUCUUGGGUAAGAACAGAGAUUCCUGGAUUUGUGUGGUAAAAGUGAGCUUUUCACCACAUGGGAUUUUCUCUGCCAAGUAUGUAUACAUGUCAAUAUAUAGUUUGGCCGAAUGAAAGUUUUAAUAAGCUUUGAAGCAACUCCGAAUGGAUGAAACUUGCACAAAAAUUGUAUAGAAUUUGCAGAUCUGCAUAGGAUUGGCAGUUGACAUUAUGAGUUGCUUUCAAAUAUAUAAGAAUAAAAUGAAUGAAAUGGAGAUUUUGCAUGUUCCUGAGAUGAGUGGUGGCGUGACUUGGUGAUUAAGCUUAAUUAGGAUGGUCAUGCAUGUAUUUGUUUAUUAUAUCUUGCUUAGCUUUUAUGGCAGUAUCUAGUUUAUUUGGUUUUGGCUCUCGCUUAUCUGAAAUUUCAUGCUCAGAAAUGCUAUGUUUUGGCUCUGUGUUUCUGCUUUUCGAAUAAUUAUUUUCAUUUGCAAUGUUAACUGAAAAUCUCAUCGUCCUCCGUGUGAAAUAUUAAAAUCUAGUCAUGUAAAAUAGUAAUAAUAAUAAAUAAAUAAAUAAAUAAAAAAUCAACAUUGUUGUUGAUAUAUUUUGAUACAUUCAUGUGUAUUUGUGUAGACCUUUGACAGUCAAUUAGAAGCAUUUAAGAAGCAUUAUAAAGCCUCAAACAUGAGAGGUAUUUGACCUUGCUUGGAAGGGAUUCAUUACAGGAGUUUUGAAGCAAGUUUUUUCGCUCAUAUUGGUCACAGGACGGGACAAGCAACCAAAGGAUUCUGUUUGAGUACUCUUCAUUUAGUGUAUGUUAACAUGUCUAAAGUAUUGUUGUUGUUGUUGAAUAAAUUUUAUGAAUCAAUUUCUUGAUAUAUUAUAGAUAUUUUCUUGGAAUGCUUCAACAACUUGUCGAAUUUGUUUGUUGACGCAUUAUCUCUAUUUUUAUUAUGAUGUUUUAGUCAAAUCCUUUAUUUGAAGUCAUUAA